AUGAUUUACAGGCAGAUGUUACCAGCUUCAAAAGUUAUUGGAGAACAGAAACAGAAGAUUUGAUUCAAACUUUAAUAACUGUCAUACACAAAGCUGGAAUCCACCACUGAACUUUUCAGAGAGAAUCCAUACUUGGACACUUAGCCACAUCAACAUCAGGAAAAGAAAAAGAGCCAAGGUCCACGUAGCAGAAGAUGCUUUUUCUGACUGAUGGAGAGGCUUGGAACUGAAUGAGUGUAAGUACCAUUUUUUCCUCAGGAAAGAUAGCCUAGA
rnacentral:lncRNA from 1 species